rnacentral:rRNA from 1 species
GGCCUGUUGAUUAUUUUUAUAGGUCUCGCCUGCCCACUGAGUAGUUAAAGGGCCGCGGUAUCUUGACCGUGCAAAGGUAGCAUAAUAAUUAGUUUCUUAAUUGGAAGCUUGUAUGAACGGUAGGAUGAGGAAAUUACUGUCUCGGGUUAAUUAUUUUUUGAAGUUUAUUUUUAAGUAAAAAAGCUUAAAUGUUAUUAAAAGACGAGAAGACCCUGUAGAAUUUUACAUUUAAUUUUAUUGUCUUUUCUUUAGUAUCUUUAUAAAGUUGAUUGAAUUUCUUGUUUGGUUGGGGUGAUCGAAAAAUUAGAGUAACUUUUUUUUCAUUAUAACAUUGAUUUAUGAAAAAUUGAUCCAUUGUUUGUGAUUAUAAGAUUAAAUUACCUCAGGGAUAACAGCGUAAUCUUUUUAGAGAGUCCUAAUCGAUAAGAAGGUUUGCGACCUCGAUGUUGGAUUAAAAUUAAGUCUUGGUGCAGAAGCUAAGAAUUUUUGGUCUGUUCGACCAUUAAAAUUU